rnacentral:rRNA from 1 species
GAUGAACGCUGGCGGCGUGCCUAAUACAUGCAAGUCGAGCGAACAGACGAGGAGCUUGCUCCUCUGACGUUAGCGGCGGACGGGUGAGUAACACGUGGAUAACCUACCUAUAAGACUGGGAUAACUUCGGGAAACCGGAGCUAAUACCGGAUAAUAUAUUGAACCGCAUGGUUCAAUAGUGAAAGACGGUUUUGCUGUCACUUAUAGAUGGAUCUGCGCCGCAUUAGCUAGUUGGUAAGGUAACGGCUUACCAAGGCAACGAUGCGUAGCCGACCUGAGAGGGUGAUCGGCCACACUGGAACGGGGACACGGUCCAGGCUCCUACGGGAGGCAGCAGUAGGGAAUCUUCCGCAAUGGGCGAAAGCCUGACGGAGCAACGCCGCGUGAGUGAUGAAGGUCUUCGGAUCGUAAAACUCUGUUAUUAGGGAAGAACAAAUGUGUAAGUAACUAUGCACGUCUUGACGGUACCUAAUCAGAAAGCCACGGCUAACUACGUG